CAGCAGCCACGGUAAUACGAAGGGGGCUAGCGUUGUUCGGAAUCACUGGGCGUAAAGGGUGCGUAGGCGGAUUCUUAAGUCAGGGGUGAAAUCCCGAGGCUCAACCUCGGAACUGCCUUUGAUACUGGGGAUCUUGAGUCCGGAAGAGGUGAGUGGAACUGCGAGUGUAGAGGUGAAAUUCGUAGAUAUUCGCAAGAACACCGGUGGCGAAGGCGGCUCACUGGUCCAGAACUGACGCUGAGGCACGACAGCGUGGGGAGCAAACAGGAUUAGAUACCCCCGUAGUCCCUGUCUCUUAUAC
rnacentral:rRNA from 1 species